UGAUGAAGUGGAGCCAAGUCCUCAUAGU
rnacentral:piRNA from 1 species